rnacentral:rRNA from 1 species
AUGGCAUUCUUCAGUAAUUCUGGGAGCAGGGCUGAUUCGGGAGGGUACAACUUGAACGAGAAGGCUGAUGACGAAGGCGCGUAUGAGUCAGUCAGGGAUAGGGACGCCGACUUGAACUCAGGCCAGUUGAACUUGAAUGAGAAGGCUGAUGAUGCCUACCACAGUGAGGAGGAGCAAUACGAAGCUGGCCAGUCAGGUCUGAACCCUUCUGAGAUUAAAUCAGGGCAGAAUGCUCAGAGAGUAGGUGGUCCUUCUGGCCCAUGGGGUACAAACUUUUUGAAGGACUGCAGAUCCACGGAAGGGGAAGAACCAUCAAAUAGUGAUAGGGGAAUGGAAGACGGGUCUGCGGCUAGCUCACAUGAUGACAUGGAUGGUAGUGGAGAGGAUGAUGAGCUAAACAGAGGGCACGGGGAUGUGCCCGCUGAUGAAAUGCUCUCUGAUGACUAUUAUGAGCAGGACAGAGAGGAGCAGAGUGAUUCAUUGAAUCGUCGUGGGAUGAGCCACCCAAGCUGUUCCACUUCUGGGGUCGCAUCAAAAUCUGUACCCUCAAGACAAAAGAAGUCGACAAAGGGCAGUGCUUAUGACGACGAUGACGAUGCGUAUAAUGAUGAGAAUGACAAUGACGACGAUGACGACGAUGACGCAGAUGAAGAUGAUCCAGAUGAUGUGGAUUUUGAGCCAGACAGUGAAACCGACAAGGCUGCUGUUAAGGAGAAGCUUGUGGACAGUGAGAACUCAGGCGAAGAAGAAGAAGAUGAUGAGCUUGAGCUCUCGGAUGAUGAUGAUGAUUUUAUUGAUAGUAGGAGGCAAUCGAAACGACUUAAGGUCGGAGGAACUAAAACUUCCCAGCGAAAAAAGCUUCCUAUGCAGGCUCCACGCAAACGAGGUGUAUCUUUCACAGACGAAGAAUAUUCUUCAGGAAAAGACUCAGAUGCACCCAACAGUCCUGAUUUUAGUCAUCGACCGAAAAAACCUGUCAGGUUGCAUCUGAAAACUGUGGGCCAUAAUGAUGUUUUCUCAAAUGUCAAUUCCCAUAAUGAAUCCCGAACUUCGGGGAGGAGGAGGACACAGAGAAAUAUCUCAUAUGCUGAAAGUGACAGUGACGAUAGUGAGGAGAAGUCAACUAAACAACAAAAGCUCUUGAAGGAGGAUCAAGAUGAAGAAGAUGGAGAAACAAUUGAAAGGGUCAUUUGGUAUCAGCCAAAGGGUGUCGCUGAGGAUGCACUGAGGAAUGGUCAAUCGACUCAACCUACUGUUAUGAGCAUGCCAUUAGAUUUUGAUCAACAAUGGGAUGAUGUAGAGUUCUACAUAAAAUGGAAAGGGCAGUCUUACUUACAUUGUCAGUGGAAGACAUUAUCCGAGCUUCGUAGUGUUAGUGGAUUUAAAAAAGUUCUAAACUACAUGAAAAGAGUGUCCGAGGAGCAGAGGUACAAGAGGUCACUAUCGCGCGAAGAGGUUGAGGUGCAUGAUGUCGGCAAGGAAAUGGAGUUGGACCUUAUUAAGCAAUAUAGCCAGGUUGAACGGGUAUUUGCUGAUAGGGCAACCAAAGUGGAUGGGGAUGUUGUGGUGCCAGAAUAUUUAGUCAAAUGGCAGGGACUUCCUUACGCAGAAUCGACCUGGGAAAAAGAUACAGAUAUUGAAUUUGCUCAAGAAGCAAUAGAUGAAUACAGGGCCCGUGAAGUUGCCACUGCCAUACUGGGGAAAACAGUUGAUUUCCAAAGGAAGAAAAGCAAAGCUAGUUUGAGAAGGCUUGAUGAUCAACCAGAAUGGCUAAAAGGAGGUAAACUUCGCGAUUAUCAGCUUGAAGGCCUAAACUUUCUCGUUAAUGGGUGGAGAAAUGAUACUAAUGUUAUUCUUGCCGAUGAGAUGGGUCUGGGAAAAACCAUUCAAUCAGUUUCCAUGCUUGGCUUCCUUCAUAAUGCUCAAGAAAUUAAUGGCCCGUUUCUUGUCGUGGUGCCGCUCUCAACAUUGUCAAAUUGGGCAAAAGAAUUUCGGAAGUGGCUACCUGACAUGAAUGUUGUAAUUUAUGUCGGAAAUCGUGCUAGCAGAGAGAUGUGUCAGCAGCAUGAGUUUUUUACAAAUAAGAAGGGUGGGCGGCAUGUAAAAUUCCAUACUUUGAUUACUACUUAUGAGGUGAUACUUAAGGACAAAGUCGUCCUUUCAAAAAUCAAAUGGAAUUAUCUUAUGGUUGAUGAAGCCCACCGUUUGAAGAAUUCUGAAGCAUCACUGUAUAUUGCUCUUUUGGAGUUCAGCACCAAAAAUAAGCUGCUAAUAACUGGGACCCCUUUGCAGAACAGUGUUGAAGAGCUGUGGGCACUACUUCAUUUCCUUGAUCCAGUCAAAUUUAACAGCAAGGAUACUUUUGUUGAGAGAUACAAAAAUUUGAGUUCGUUUAAUGAAACUGAGCUUGCAAAUCUUCACAUGGAAUUGAGGCCCCAUAUUUUAAGGCGAGUUAUAAAAGAUGUCGAGAAGUCUCUACCUCCAAAAAUUGAGCGAAUUCUUCGUAUCGAAAUGUCUCCCCUACAGAAACAAUAUUACAAGUGGAUUCUAGAGCGAAAUUUUCAGAAUCUGAAUAAAGGAGUUCGCGGGAAUCAGGUCUCACUUUUGAAUGUUGUCGUCGAGUUAAAAAAGUGUUGCAACCAUCCAUUCUUGUUUGAAAGUGCUGAUCAUGGUUAUGGUGGAGAUAGCAUUGGUGAUCGCAAUAAAGUUGAACGUAUUGUUAUGAGUAGUGGGAAGUUAGUUUUGUUGGACAAGCUACUGCUGAGACUGCGGGAGACUAAUCAUCGCGUGCUUAUAUUCUCUCAGAUGGUGAGGAUGCUGGACAUCCUUUCUGAGUACCUAUCCCUUCGAGGCUUCCAGUUUCAGAGGCUUGAUGGCAGUACAAGAGCGGAUCUUCGUCACCAGGCCAUGGAACAUUUUAAUGCUCCUGGAAGCGAUGAUUUUUGUUUCCUUCUGUCUACACGUGCUGGUGGACUUGGUAUUAAUCUUGCAACAGCAGAUACAGUGAUAAUUUUUGAUUCAGAUUGGAAUCCUCAAAAUGAUCUACAGGCAAUGAGUAGGGCACAUAGGAUUGGGCAACAAGAUACUGUCAACAUCUAUCGUUUUGUCACCUGCAAAAGUGUUGAAGAGGAUAUAUUAGAGCGGGCAAAGAAAAAAAUGGUUCUUGAUCACUUGGUGAUUCAGAAGCUGAAUGCUGAGGGCAGGCUCGAGAAGAAAGAAACCAAAAAGGGUGGCUCCAUGUUUGAUAAGAAUGAACUUUCAGCCAUACUGAGGUUUGGGGCAGAGGAGUUGUUCAAAGAAGAGAAGACUGAUGAAGAGACCAAGAGGAAGCUUGAGAGCAUGGACAUUGAUGAAAUACUUGAGAGAGCUGAGAAAGUUGAAACAAAGGCUGCUGAAGGGGAAGAAGGAAAUGAGCUUCUUAGUGCUUUCAAGGUUGCUAAUUUUUCCAGCGGUGAGGAUGAUGCCUCAUUCUGGAGUAGACUAAUACAACCAGAUCCCGCAGAUAUGGGUCAGGAAACUUUAGCACCUCGUGCUGCACGGAAUAAAAAGAGCUAUGUGGAGGAUCACCAACUCGACAAAAAUAGCAGCAGGAAAAGGCGAGCGGUUGACGCACAAGAAAAGCCAAGGCGGCGUUCCAGCAGAACAGUCGACACAAUGGUUUCGUUACCAUUUAUUGAUGGAGCAGUCGCUCAAGUACGGAACUGGUCAUAUGGAAAUAUGCCUAAGAAGGAUGCCUCCCGCUUUGUUCGAGCGGUUAAAAAGUUUGGAAAUCCAAGCCAAAUUGGCUUAAUUGUGGAUGAUGUUGGUGGUGCAAUAGCAAAGGCUCCAUGUGAAGCACAAAUUGAGCUGUAUGAGUCACUCAUUGAUGGCUGUCAGGAAGCUGUGAAAGAGAACACAGACAUCAAGGGCACAGUGUUGGAUUUUUUUGGUGUACCAGUGAAGGCCUAUGAGUUGUUGGCUCGUGUUGAAGAGCUUCAAUGCUUGGCAAAGCGCAUCGCACGUUACAAAGAUCCAGUUAGACAAUACCGGAUCCAAUCACCUUACAAAAAGCCACAGUGGUCAGCAAGCUGUGGAUGGAUUGAAACUGAUGAUGCAAGAUUGCUGCUUGGAAUUCACUGGUAUGGUUAUGGAAACUGGGAGAAGAUACGAUUGGAUGCAAAGCUUGGGCUGACAACAAAAAUUGCACCAGCAACACUUGGUGAGAGAGAAACAUUUUUACCACGCGCACCAAAUUUGGAUAAUCGUGCUAGUGCUCUCCUGCAAAAGGAAUAUGCCAAUCUGAGUGGAAAGAGCUCAAAAGCCAAAGGAGGUGCUAGCCAAAAAGUCAAUAAUGAAAACGGUGGUGCUCGAUCGUUUAAAGGCCGGCAAAAAGAUGCAAAACCACAAGAGGAUAUUAAGUCGAACAAAGAUGACAUUAAGAAACGCAAGGUGGUGGAAGAAGCUGAAGCAAGAGAAGAGGGUGAAAUUUCAGAGUCUGAAGAACAGAUUAAAUAUCGUUUGGAAAAGGAGGAAAAGUGGCUGGAAUGGUGCUCUGAAGCUUUGGAUGAAGAGCAGGACAUAUUGAAACGCCUCGAUAGGUUACAGAAUACAAGUUUAAAUCUUCCGAAGGAAAAGGUUCUUUCAAGAAUUCGCCGGUACCUCCAGAUAAUCGGUGAAAAGAUUGGAAAAGUCGCUGCCCAACAUGUAGAAUCGUACAAGCAGUCCCGUAUGACCACAAGAUUAUGGAAUUAUGUGGCAAGAUUUUCAAAUAUGUCUGGGGAGCAAUUGUGUGAUCUCUAUUUAAAAGUUUGUCAGGACCAAAUGGAAGCUGGAGUCGGCCCCUCACAUGGUGGCAAUUUUGCACCCGCUCCUAACAGAGGUUCUUCAAAUCAGCCUCAUCCUCCUAGAAACCAAAGGUCAACAAGGUCUUUCCAGCACACUCCCGAGCCUCUUAAUAAUGGUGAAAACACUGGGAAUUCGGAAGCCUGGAAGCGCCGGAGGAGAGCUGAUCAGGAUAAUCAGUUUGACACCCAAACGAUGUAUCAACCUCCUCCAUUUAUGGCAAAUGGUAACAGGUCCCAGGAAUCUAGCAGUUCUGCUGGUAUUCUUGGUUGGGGUCCAGUCGAAAUGAGACGAUAUGGCACUGAAAGAUCAAAGAGAGGUGUUCAUCCCAGUCGUUUCCCUGCCGGGCAUGGGCCUUUGCUUUAG